AGAAGUCCGUGUUGUCAGGCUGAGCCGAGGAGACCAGCCUUCACCACAAGUACUGGCAAAGUACAGACUCAUAGCUAAAGAGGCCAUAUUGUCUCUGUGCUGUGAGGCAACUGAUCUUGGCCCCUUCAUCGCUGAGCUUCAGUCCAAACUGUCCUGCCAGGCUGACUCCUGCCACAGUGCUCCAGUUACACUGAAUCAGCACAAGAGAGUGGUGGCGCUGGAGUCUACACUACUGGUG